AUCGAACGCUGGCGGCAGGCCUAACACAUGCAAGUCGAGCGCAGAGUCGGACGGGUGAGUACUGCCUAGGAAUCAGCAUGGUAGUGGGGGAUACAGCACGGGAACGGGCGCUAAUACCGCAUAAUUUCAGAUGGACUUCGGUCGGCUUAGCUAGUUGGUGGGGUAAAGGCUUACCAAGGUGACGAUCCGUAACUGAUCUGAGAGGUUGAUCCGUCACACUGGAACUGAGAGACGGCCCAGACUCCUACGGGAGGCAGCAGUGGGGAAUAUUGGACAAUGGACGAAAGUCUGAUCCAGCCAUGCCGCGUGUGUGAAGAAGGUCUUCGGAUUGUAAAGCUCUUUUGUUUGAGAAGCGUUACCUACAGAGUAAGCACCGGCUAACUACGUGCCAGCCGCCGCGGUAAUAC
rnacentral:rRNA from 1 species